rnacentral:tRNA from 1 species
AGCUGCGUACGCUAGAGGUGUCACUAAGCAUUUAGUCGCAUCGUGCUAGGAGCGCGGGUUCGAUUCCCGCCGCAGCUG